rnacentral:rRNA from 1 species
GAUGAACGCUGGCGGCGUGCCUAAUACAUGCAAGUCGAGCGAACGGACGAGAAGCUUGCUUUUCUGAUGUUAGCGGCGGACGGGUGAGUAACACGUGGAUAACCUACCUAUAAGACUGGGAUAACUUCGGGAAACCGGAGCUAAUACCGGAAAAUAUUUUGAACCGCAUGGUUCAAAAGUGAAAGACGGUCUUGCUGUCACUUAUAGAUGGAUCCGCGCUGCAUUAGCUAGUUGGUAAGGUAACGGCUUACCAAGGCAACGAUGCAUAGCCGACCUGAGAGGGUGAUCGGCGACACUGGAACUGAGACACGGUCCAGACUCCUACGGGAGGCAGCAGUAGGGAAUCUUCCGCAAUGGGCGAAAGCCUGACGGAGCAACGCCGCGUGAGUGAUGAAGGUCUUCGGAUCGUAAAACUCUGUUAUUAGGGAAGAACAUAUGUGUAAGUAACUGUGCACAUCUUGACGGUACCUAAUCAGAAAGCCACGGCUAACUACGUG